rnacentral:rRNA from 1 species
CCAGACUCCUACGGGAGGCAGCAGUGGGGGAUAUUGCACAAUGGGGGGAACCCUGAUGCAGCGACGCCGCGUGAAGGAAGAAGUAUUUCGGUAUGUAAACUUCUAUCAGCAGGGAAGAAAAUGACGGUACCUGACUAAGAAGCCCCGGCUAACUACGUGCCAGCAGCCGCGGUAAUACGUAGGGGGCAAGCGUUAUCCGGAUUUACUGGGUGUAAAGGGAGCGUAGGCGGUUUAGCAAGUCAGAAGUGAAAGCCCGGGGCCCAACCCCGGGACUGCUCUUGGAACUGCGUGGCUAGAGUGCAGGAGGGGCAGGCGGAAUUCCUGGUGUAGCGGUGAAAUGCGUAGAUAUUAGGAGGAACACCAGUGGCGAAGGCGGUCUGCUGGACAGCAACUGACGGUGAGGCGCGAAAGCGUGGGGAGCGAACAGGAUUAGAUACCCCUGUA